CUCCAGGCCGCGCCCGCUCCCCAGAAACUCACACAUAGAAGAAAAAGAGGCAGAGUAUCGGGCACUUGGAAAAAGAUCUCGCCCGAAGUGGAGUAAAGGUACUCAGACAGAGCCCUGGAGCAGGACUGGGGGCCCGCAAAGGAGGCCCUGGAGCAGGACUGGGGGCCCGCAGAGGAGGCCCUGUGGCUCUGGCUGCGGGCAGCGCUGGAGGCCCUGUUGAGAAAGUGCAGGUGCCGCAGCCAGAGCGGGGUGAGCUGGGACUCUGCAGGGCCCUGUGUGAGCUCCUCGCUCCUCGCUCCGGAGCACAAAGUGAGGCUCCCAUCCUUCUCUCCCUGGUCUUUCUUGCUUGUCUGCAGCCCCAGGGAGGUCCCCUGAGGUAGAAAAUACUCUUCCCAGGCCGAGAGCUCUCCACUACUCAGGGCUGCUUGCCCACAUUGGGGGUCACGUUCUCAGGAAGAAGGCUGUCAAGGCCUGGGACAUCAUCCAAAGGAGACAGGAACCAAGCCCCCAACAGAGUUGCUGUGAAUAAUAUCAUUUCUGUGACGGUGCCCCUGGAGGUGUGCAGUGCAUUGCCUGGUGUGGCUGCGGGCAGUGGAUGGAGGCAAGGGAAGGGCCAGGGUCCCUGUGACCUACCCACCCCUCCAGAGAGUCAGAGGGAGGGAAGCAACUGGUGUUAGCUCAGUGGAUAGAAAAGUUUCUAGGGCCGAGUUGCCCCUGGUGAAAGCUGCAAUCCCCAGGGAGUGAGGAAGGUGAAGGUUCGUGCAAGCCAAAGAUUCUAGGGGAGGCCCCCAGAACCUCUGCCCCUUGCAAGGGUGUGGGCAACACCACCCUGUGAUGGCCUAGGUUCCUAAGCUUUUAGUGACCUGAUGGUCUCAGCCCACAGCUGACCCUCCGAGAGCUCCUGCUCCCUACCAUGCUGGGGGUGACCCCGGGGACCCACCUGUCUGCUCCUGCC
rnacentral:lncRNA from 1 species